GGACGAACGCUGGCGGCGUGCUUAACACAUGCAAGUCGAACGGUGAAGCGCCUUCCUUUUUGGUGGGUGUGGAUGAGUGGCGAACGGGUGAGUAACACGUGAGUAACCUGCCCCCUUCUUCUGGAUAACCGCAUGAAAGUGUGGCUAAUACGGGAUAUUCUGGGUCUGUCGCAUGAUGGGUCUGGGAAAGAUAUUGUUUCGGUGGGGGAUGGGCUCGCGGCCUAUCAGCUUGUUGGUGGGGUGAUGGCCUACCAAGGCGGUGACGGGUAGCCGGCCUGAGAGGGUGGACGGUCACACUGGGACUGAGACACGGCCCAGACUCCUACGGGAGGCAGCAGUGGGGAAUAUUGCACAAUGGGCGCAAGCCUGAUGCAGCGACGCCGCGUGAGGGAUGGAGGCCUGCGGGUUGUGAACCUCUUUCGCCAGUGAAGCAGGCCUGCCUCGUUUGUGGGUGGGUUGACGGUAGCUGGAUAAGAAGCGCCGGCUAACUACGUG
rnacentral:rRNA from 1 species